UCGAGGAUCUUCGGCAAUGGGGGCAACCCCGACCGAGCGACGCCGCGUGUGCGACGAAGGCCUUCGGGUUGUAAAGCACUGUCGAGGGGGAGAAAACCCCGCAAGGGGCUGAUCCAUCCCGGGAGGAAGCUCGGGCUAAGUUCGUGCCAGCAGCCGCGGUAAGACGAACCGAGCGAACGUUGUUCGGAAUCACUGGGCUUAAAGGGCGCGUAGGCGGGCUGCCGCGUCCGGGGUGAAACCCGCCGGCUCAACCGGCGGACGGCCCCGGGUACGGGCGGCCUGGAGGGGGGUAGGGGCGGGCGGAACCGUGGGUGGAGCGGUGAAAUGCGUUGAUAUCCACGGGAACUCCGGUGGCGAAGGCGGCCCGCUGGACCCCACCUGACGCUGAGGCGCGAAAGCCAGGGGAGCGAACGG
rnacentral:rRNA from 1 species